AGACGGUCUCAGUUCGGAUUGAAGGCUGAAAUUCGCCUUCAUGAAGCUGGAAUUGCUAGUAAUGGCAGGUCAGCAUACUGCCGUGAAUACGUUCCCGGGCCUUGUACACACCGCCCGUCACACCAUGAGAGUCGGGAACACCCGAAGUCCGUAGUCUAACCGCAAGGGGGGCGCGGCCGAAGGUGGGUCCGGUAAUUGGGGUGAAGUCGUAACAAGGUAGC
rnacentral:rRNA from 1 species